rnacentral:rRNA from 1 species
GGCCUUGACAUACUAAGAACUUUCCAGAGAUGGAUUGGUGCCUUCGGGAACUUAGAUACAGGUGCUGCAUGGCUGUCGUCAGCUCGUGUCGUGAGAUGUUGGGUUAAGUCCCGCAACGAGCGCAACCCUUUUCCUUAUUUGCCAGCGGGUCAUGCCGGGAACUUUAAGGAUACUGCCAGUGACAAACUGGAGGAAGGCGGGGACGACGUCAAGUCAUCAUGGCCCUUACGGCCAGGGCUACACACGUGCUACAAUGGUCGGUACAAAGGGUUGCUACCUCGCGAGAGGAUGCUAAUCUCAAAAAGCCGAUCGUAGUCCGGAUCGCAGUCUGCAACUCGACUGCGUGAAGUCGGAAUCGCUAGUAAUCGCGGAUCAGAAUGCCGCGGUGAAUACGUUCCCGGGCCUUGUACACACCGCCCGUCACACCAUGGGAGUUUGUUGCACCAGAAGUAGGUAGUCUAACCGCAAGGAGGGCGCUUACCACGGUGUGGCCGAUGACUGGGGUGAAGUCGUAACAAGGUAAGCGUAGAUGA